rnacentral:lncRNA from 1 species
CUCUGGCUGCGCCUACACCACAGCUUUACUGAAAGGUUUGCUACCUAAUAAACUAAUCUUUAACAAUCGCCCUUCCGCGAAGGAGAUUUGGGAAAAAAGUAGUGUCAAAAAGGGUGCACAGGGGGAUAUAGAAAUGUUGACCAUCGUUGCAACGUGGUGGGUAUUAUGGUUGGAGCGCAACAAAAGAAUUUUUCAGCAAUCAAGACGGGUGCUGGGGAGUCCGUUUUUGGAGAUCAGAGUGCUUAGAGACUUGUGGAAUCGUUCAUGUAGUUGAUAUUAGAUGUUUUUGUUUUUCUUUUUGGUUUUCUUUUCUUUUCUUCUUUUGCUUUUCUCUUUUGUCUUUCUUCUGUUUUUCUCUUGUACCUUGAGUUUGUCUUUUUUCUUUUCCUCUUUCUUUCCUCUCAAGGCCCUGGAUGUCUCAAUCUGUAGCUAAAUUCACUCCCUAGUUGAAUGAAGCGGUAGCAUGCUACCUUUUCUCAAAAAAAAAACAUUCACUGCAAAAAAAUUUCAAUACAAAAACGCUUUUAAGAUGAUGCUUCGGAAAAGUGUCCCCAAGCGUCAACCCUACAAUAUAGCAAAUACCGACGCUUCAAAAAGCAUCAUUUUAUAAACCCUCUGUCGUAUCAAACUAAUUUAUUAAAUAAUAAAUUUUAUUAUUAUUUUUAAGUCGACGUUUUAAAGUAUCAGGAUUUCAAAUAUAUUUUACCUUACGCCAGACUAUAUU